UGGGGAAUAUUGCACAAUGGGCGCAAGCCUGAUGCAGCCAUGCCGCGUGUGUGAAGAAGGCCUUCGGGUUGUAAAGCACUUUCAGCGAGGAGGAAGGUGGUGGACUUAAUACGUUCAUCAAUUGACGUUACUCGCAGAAGAAGCACCGGCUAACUCCGUGCCAGCAGCCGCGGUAAUACGGAGGGUGCAAGCGUUAAUCGGAAUUACUGGGCGUAAAAGCGCACGCAGGCGGUUUGUUAAGUCAGAUGUGAAAUCCCCGGGCUCAACUUGGGAACUGCAUUUGAAAACUGGCAAGCUAGAGUCUCGUAGAGGGGGGUAGAAAUUCCAGGUGUAGCGGUGAAAUGCGUAGAGAUCUGGAGGAAUACCGGUGGCGAAGGCGGCCCCCUGGACGAAGACUGACGCUCAGGUGCGAAAGCGUGGGGAGCAAAACAGGAUUAGAUACCCUGGUAGUCCACGCUGUAAAACGAUGUCGAUUUUGGAGGUUGUGCCCUUGAGGCGUGGCUUCCGGAGCUAACGCGUUAAAUCGACCGCCUGGGGAGUACGGCC
rnacentral:rRNA from 1 species